rnacentral:rRNA from 1 species
GUCUAUGGCCAUGCCACCCUGAACAAGCCCGAUCCCGUCUGAUCUCGGAAGCUAAGCAGGGUGGGGCCUAGUUAGUACUUGGAUGGGAGACCACCAAGGAAGACCAGGUGCUACAGGCG